UCCUUUUUUGUUGCAUUAUUU
rnacentral:piRNA from 1 species